GCUCUCCAGCUGAUGGACCCAGGCAAUCUGACACUCAGAGGGUGAGAGUCCAUGAUGUGGGAGUGAAGGAACACACGAGAGCUCACCUCUUGAUCUACAACCAGGAGGCACAGAAGUGCAGGCAUGCUGCGAAGUGCAGGAGCCUUUUGAAACCCCACAGCCCACACUCAGGGACACAUCUCCUCCAACAAGACACAAUACUUCCGAAACCUAAACAGUCCUACUGAUUAGGGACCAAAUCCUGGAAUAUGUGAAUGAGCUAAUAGGGCCCUUCUCUCUCAAUCCAACUGCUCUUUUCAUCUUCUGUUAUCACUGCAGGGCGCUGAGGAUCCACCCACAGAAAUCUGUUGCUUCCUGAAAUUGCUGCAGUCUAGGAGGUCAAAUAACAGCUACCCCUUUGGACAUUUAAUCCUUGUAUACUUUUGUAUGGGACAGCCUCGUUACUGAAAAGCUAGAAUUGUGCUUCCCGCACAGUGCCUUGCUUAUAUCAAACACAAUAUCUAAUGUAUGAAGAAAUCACUAACCAUCUUAACUUCUGGGAGAGACACAUCAAGUACGCAUUUUGAUUAUGUACAUUCGAAUUGUUAAACGUUUUAAACACAAAGGAGCAUAGAAUAUGAACUGCUAGCGCUAGGUACCCAGAUUUAAUAGGCGAGGAACGUUGUCGUGUUUCACCUUUAGGAAAGGAAGGAUUGAAAAAUGCAAUACCAUUUUCUUUAAAAAAUAUUCUCCCAGGGAUGGAGAGGCGCUUCAGUAGUGAAGAGCACUUGCUGCUCUUAUAGAGGACCAAGGUUCUGUUCCUAGCACCCGCAUGGUGGCUCACAACCAUCUGCAG
rnacentral:lncRNA from 1 species